CUACCAAGACAGUGACGGUUGACGGGGAAUCAGGGUUUGAUACCGGAGAGGGAGCCUGAGAGAUAGCUCCCACGUCCAUGGACGGCAGCAGGCGCGAAAAUUGCCCACUCUUUGUAGGAGGCAGUUAUGAGACGUGAAAUUGAAUAUUUUGUAAAGAAGAAUAGGAGGAUUGGAGGGCAAGUUUGGUGCCAGCCGCCGCGGUAAUACCGACUCCUAGAGUGUGUAUGAGAGAUGCUGCAGUUAAAAAGUCCGUAGUCAUAGAAAGAUAAAUAGGGAUAAGAAAUCUCUUAAAUUAGUUAUAGAAAAACCGAUGGGGAACAUAGUAUACCAGGGCGAGAGAUGAAAUGCCAAGACCCCUGGUGGACUAAGCGAGGCGAAAGCGAUGUUCUUGUAGGUAUUUGAUGAUCAAGGACGAAGGCUGGAGUAUCGAAAGUGAUUAGAUACCGCAGUAGUUCCAGCAGUAAAAGAUGCC
rnacentral:rRNA from 1 species